UGGUAGAGCACGACCUUGCCAAGGUCGGGGUCGCGAGUUCGAGUCUCGUUUCCCG
rnacentral:tRNA from 1 species